rnacentral:lncRNA from 1 species
ACCCCGUCCUUUUCUAAGGCUUGCAACCACGUCCAGCUCGACGUCCUGUGCUUCGGGGAUGGUGGCGCUUCUGCUCCUCGUGCGGGAGGAUGAUGCAAAAUCGUGGAUGAAGUUCGGGAACUCCUGGUCUUGACCGACGCCCUCUGCUCCGGUCCCCGACACAGCAACCAGAUCGUGGGUGCCAUCCUGCCCUAAGGUUACAUGCACUACCUGUCUCUCCUUGAUCUGAUCUCUCAAAGUCCCGAUCUAUUUCAGCAAAACUAUCUUCUAUCUAUUUGAUACUCUUUUUUGGUAAACAGUUUUAACCUAUUGUAAUUGCUCUCAUUCUGGAGCGAGGUCACUAUUGACAAGUCAUUGCAGUGCUACUACCGCAUUAAUCUUAGCAGUGAAGCUAUGGUCUGUUCUUUGGUACAACAAUGAAAUGUUAAUAUGCCAUUCUCCUUUAUGCUUUGUGUCAGUGCACUGUGGUAUGACACCAACACUUAUUUGGCACCUACAUUGCAUCGACAAUUUGCCAGCUUACAGUUUGUACCAUCGAGAAUUUGCACGACUUUACACCUGCAGCUGUACCACUAUACUAUAAAUAUGUUUUGAUGUCUAAACUGGUGUUGGUACUGAACCUGAUAGUGUAUUUGGCGUAUCUUUUCUGUAGAAUUAGUACCAGAGUUCUAUUUGUAGUAUUAUUAAUAGUAAAGAGAUAAUUAGACCAUAGAGUCGCUUUUGAUUUGGUUUAUUCCUUCAGAUCAUGCAAUAGAUGUAAGCACACAUUUAAGUACUUUAUCUUAUUACAAAAACUGAACAAAGAUAUACCAGCAAUACGUUUCAUGACGUAGUGUUAUCUGUGCAAGAAAAUUGCUUGAAUGAUUAUUAAUCAAUAUAAGCAAUCUAUCAUGUAGGUUUUGUUCGAUCCUACACUUAAAGAAAAUCAUACUGAAGAUCUGAGCUUAAGUGUUCCAACAGCUGAAGCACCAGCUCAAGAUGAAAGGAUCCUCUUAAUAUGAUUGUAGGUCCAUUCCUGUAAAGUGCAGUUAGAAUAUGGAAUCCACCUGGAACUUGGUUUUAAAAACAGAAAGCAUAUGGAAUUUUGAGGUUUCUGCUUUCUAUGUGAGUAUCUUGGUGCAUGCUUGUUUCUGAAUAAAAUGCAGAGGUCAUGAACAAAUUAAAACAUGCUCUCUGAUGGGCAAGGGUAGGUUUAUUUUUAGUUGAAGUGGUAUCAGUUGUAUACUUAUAUACACGCCAUUUGAAAAAUAGUAUGUAUCUCCUUGCAAACUACUACGUAUUAUUUAAAUGUUUUACAUAAGACUGUCCGUCCAGAUACAAUAACUAUUUAGUAUUUUAAUAACUUGAAUUGCACGGCUUGAUCGCUCUGCUUGGGUCUUCUCUUAUGUAUGAGUCACCAUGUGCGGGUUAAAUAAGUGCCCCAGCUUCGGUGAUGCACGGGCGAGGCAACACGAUUUGGUGCAGUGGCCCUCCUUCCAAGAAAUCAAGUUUUUACGUUCAGAUUUUAGAGCUCUUGAGUUUCAGCUUAGUUCAAGGAUAUAAAAGCAUACUCCUUAUGGAUUCAACGAGGAAGACCAUUAGCCACCACCUUUUUAGAAUUGGAUGGUGUGGUGCACCUUCAUCCUGCUGUCCAAUUUCUUAGCUUAUUUGCUUUAAAUGUACUACAGUAUAUAGCAGUAUAAGGAUCCAAUCUUGUGACGCCUCUCCAUUUGCACCAUCGUCAAAAGUUGCACAUGAGUUGAUUCAGACUUUCAGAGUUUUCAUAGAACACCUAGAGUUAAUCAGCCUGAAGGUAUAUCAGAUCCUAUGGAAAGGGGAUCCGGUUCAGAUUUGUCACUACUGUGUGUUGUUGGAUAGCCAUGGUGUGUAUUAGUUUGUUUUUACCACAGUUCGGUUCUUGGUAGUUAGGAUAUCAGGUGUAUACAUUACUUUUCUUAUGAAUUUUUUCUCUUUUAGUGCACUAUCUAUCUAUCUAUCUAUCUAUCUAUCUAUCUAUCUAUCUAAGUUUUCAAAGAAAUUGAUGGCGGUGGCUCAGAGGCGUCGUGGUGAAUGGUGAAGCUUCUAAAAUGGAUGGAAGAGAGGUGGUGACUUGCGGCUGGGAGACGUACAUAUUUGAGGAGAUACGAUUCAUAAGGUUUCAUAUUAACAAAAAAUGAUGAUCUUUGUAAAGUAAUCCGAACAUUUUGUUGAUUCUGGGACAAUUUUAUUCUCCAAUAUGAAUCCGUAAGAAAAGAUAUGACAAUACAUUUGUGCAAAUUGAUAAUGUAAGCUCAUCUCGGAACUUUAUUCUUUUUCUAAGAUUGAUUUACUUGGUGGUGCUAGCUUCCAUUCUGUCAAAACAGGACAUGUGUGCUAUUUCUGAAAAAGGAAGCUUCUCUGUUGGCUGGCAUCCCUGAUGGUGCCUUUAGAUAUGUAGGAAAAGAAAUGGUAUCUCAUAAUUCACUGGAUGUAGACCAGUAGGGUCAAUUACAAAUUGUUGGCUGUAAAUUACUUUCAGUUUCUAGCUUUCAUAAAAAAAUUAGACAUGUACUGUUUAAUUAAAAUUGUGUGAGUAUGUUGUGGUUGAUGGUGGUCCUAUGUGCUGGUUCAAAUUAUCAUGUUGGAUAAUAUUGCUUUUACUAGCAGUUGCAGUGCUCUUAUUAUUAUUUUUCACAAAUAUCAUCAUGUUUUGCUAUUGAUGUAAUGCUAUAUUCUUUGACUGAAAUCAAACCCUUUAGUUGCUAUUUUGGUGCUUUUAUUAUUGUGUGUGUAUUCAAUAAUGGCUUCAGUUUCAAUUAAAAUCGUUAACUGGACUGCCAUGAUUGCGGUGGCGUAUUAUUCGGCAAAAAGUAUGUUGCCUUUUAAUAUUUU